rnacentral:lncRNA from 1 species
AGCAGACUCUCCGGGAGGGCGGGCGGGCUCCCGGCUUUCAGGCUCCGCGCAGUCUGCGGGCGGGAGGGUGCCAGCGAGGUGGUGAGGGCGGUGGGUGCGGGGACGCAGCAGCCCUGGCCAAGCCCAGAGACCGGAGGACACCCCCCUCCCAGCGCUCUAACACGGGUAACUUCCCGCUGCCCGGAACGGAGUUUCUCCGUUACCCACGGACAUCCAGGAGGCCGUGUGGAGGGCAAGCAGGGUAACCCCCACUCCUAAACCACCUCUAUCCAAGGGGAGCCCGAGGAGCCAGCAGGUCCGGACACUCUGAGGAGGCUCCUCGUGGGGCCUCCCACGCACAGGUGCUGAGCUGGGCCAGCGGGUAUCUCCAGGCAGCCUCUGCUAAUGAGCUCUUAGCAGGUCCCAGCUCUGCUUCCCUGACCCCAUCUGCAGUCGCAAGCAAGCCCCAGCCCUGGAGGGGCUGCACCCUGCAACCUUCCCACAGCUGUCUCCUUUGGAUCUUUUUGCGGUCUGGGCUUGCUGUUCUCUCGACAGUAGUCAGGAAGCCCUUACCCCAAAAAGUAUCUACGGGAGGCUUGGUCUACAGGGGAGACCCCCAAGGGCUCCAGAACCAGGCUGACUCAAGACAAGGAGUUUGGAGAGACAAGGGAAGGCAUCUUUGCUUCACAGACAUGCAGAGGCAUGUGCGUCUGACCAUCACAUACAUGCAGAGGCACAUGUGGCUGCAUUUUCACUCCUUGCUGCUUCAUGUUUGCAUAUGCACACAGAAUACACAUUAAAUAAACACUAAACCAAAGCUAAGAAAAACAACAACGACAGAAAAGGCAGUGAGCUCUCUGACUACUUUCCUCUUUCUUACCUGAGGUGUGCUAAGAGUCUACUUUCAAGAAAUUUAGGAAAACAUGGCAAUUUAUCAAUAUAAUAUGUAUUUCAGAUCCUUACCAGGUGACAGGCAGGUGUCAGCAACAUGCUAUGUACUCCUCAGACUCAAGAAUUAUAAGCUUAAUAAACCUAUAUUCUUCAUAAA